AAGAUGUUAGUAAAACAUAUUACAUCGCCUUGUCGAGACAAAAUUGUAGGUUUAAACCCUGCACAUCUUA
rnacentral:tRNA from 2 species